GCAUGUCGAGGUGCUGUGACCUCGUAAAACAGCAGCAAACAAGUAACUGCGAACGACGAACGUUUCGCCCUCGCCGCCUGAUCGCGGCGAGCCUUGCACCGGUCGGCCGAUAGGCCGGGCCGUGCGGACCGCAAGGUCUGCCGGCAGCAAGGGCACUCUCAUCGGCUGGCUUCACGGCGGGCAACUUGCCGUGAAGUGAGAUCCAAGGUUGCUGGCCCCAGGCGCAGCGUGCCGCUGCGCGACGCCGGGGGCGAGACCCAAAACAGACGGCUACACAUGUAGA
rnacentral:tmRNA from 1 species